UUGUGUGUUGAAACAUCUUGAACAAAAUGUUAGUGAGAGCAUUUCUGCAGCGUCCUGCUGACUGAAUUCAAGGUGCUGCCACGUUUGCCAUCUGCCUGUGAGCUCACAGUGGUAAUUAUAGAGAGUCUCGCAAGUGCUGGAACGAGAGAUAAAGUGCUCUCUGAUUGAUUGAAGCAUAGAACAGUUGCACCUGCUAAGAUCACGUUACUCUGAGGUGCGUGGACUGCCAUAGACUCUCAUUGACUUCCUGAAUGAGCACCUCACUCAAUACACUUCUCAAAUGAUCAGAAAGCAGUAGGUAAGUAAUGGUUCAGUGAAAAACUUGCACUCUACUGCACCAAUAGAUUUGAUAGAUAGA
rnacentral:lncRNA from 1 species